AGAGUUUGAUCCUGGCUCAGAAUCAACGCUGGCGGCGUGCCUAACACAUGCAAGUCGAACGCGAAAGCCCGCAAGGGUAAGUAGAGUGGCGCACGGGUGAGUAACACGUGGACAACCUGCCUUCGAGUGGGGAAUAACCUUCCGAAAGGAGGGCUAAUACCGCAUAACACCUCGGGACACAAGUUCUGGGGUUGAAAAGAGCAAUUUGCUCGAAGAGGGGUCCGCGCCUGAUUAGCUAGUUGGUGAGGUAACGGCUCACCAAGGCUUCGAUCAGUAGCCGUCCUGAGAGGGAGCACGGCCACACUGGAACUGAGACACGGUCCAGACUCCUACGGGAGGCAGCAGUGGGGAAUUUUUGGCAAUGGGCGAAAGCCUGACCAAGCAACGCCGCGUGGGUGAUGAAGUAUCUUGGUACGUAAAACCCUUUCGGCAGGGACGAAAAAAAUGACGGUACCUGCGAAGAG
rnacentral:rRNA from 1 species